AUCCUUGCGCAGUGGCAAUACUGUAACCUAUGAGGUCUAUCCGAGGUGCGGUUUUUGCUAGUUGAAAACUUAACCCAAUACCCCGCCUUGACGACUCGACAUAUAGUUGCCUAUGGCAAUUUUUGACAGUCUCCUUUGAGA